rnacentral:rRNA from 1 species
CCUACGGGAGGCAGCAGUGGGGAAUAUUGGGCAAUGGGCGCAAGCCUGACCCCUCCCCUGCGCUUUCCUUCCUCCUUCUUUCUUUUUUUCCCCUUCUUUUCUCCUUGACGAAGCAAGUGACGGUACCUGAGGAAUAAGCCACGGCUAACUACGUGCCAGCAGCCGCGGUAAUACGUAGGUGGCAAGCGUUAUCCGGAUUUACUGGGUGUAAAGGGCGUGUAGGCGGGGACGCAAGUCAGAUGUGAAAACCACGGGCUCAACCUGUGGCCUGCAUUUGAAACUGUGUUUCUUGAGUACUGGGGAGGCAGACGGAAUUCCUAGUGUAGCGGUGAAAUGCGUAGAUAUUAGGAGGAACACCAGUGGCGAAGGCGGUCUGCUGGACAGCAACUGACGCUGAGGCGCGAAAGCGUGGGGAGCAAACAGGAUUAGAUACCCGAGUAGUC